GACGAACGCUGGCGGCGUGCUUAACACAUGCAAGUCGAACGGAAAGGCCCUGCUUUUGUUGGUUGCUCGAGUGGCGAACGGGUGAGUAACACGUGAGUAACCUGCCCUUGACUUUGGGAUAACUUCAGGAAACUGGGGCUCAUACCGGAUAGGAGCUCCUGCUGCAUGGUGGGGGUUGGAAAGUUUCGGCGGUUGGGGAUGGACUCGCGGCUUAUCAGCUUGUUGGUGGGGUAGUGGCUUACCAAGGCUUUGACGGGUAGCCGGCCUGAGAGGGUGACCGGCCACAUGGGGACUGAGAGACGGCCCAGACUCCUACGGGAGGCAGCAGGGGGGAAUAUUGCACAAUGGGCGGAAGCCUGAUGCAGCAACGCCGCGUGCGGGAUGACGGCCUUCGGGUGGUAAACCGCUUUCGCCUGUGACGAAGCGUGAGUGACGGUAAUGGGUAAAGAAGCACCGGCUAACUACGUG
rnacentral:rRNA from 1 species